CUAAAACUUCCUUUGCCAAAAUCAUUCCUGGCGUUGAUGGAGAGGCUUUUAUUCCAUUAUGUCCUCUAACUCUAGUUUAAGCACACUCCGAGCCGUAUUUUUUACUCCUGCUUUAGAUAUUACGGUGCCUUCCGUUUGUUUACAUCCCCGUCCCUUAAGGGAUCUGAUCAGUCACAUCUCUACCUACCAAGGUGUCUUUUCUGUCGGACUAUCCGGGCGGGGCAGCUGUCAGAACGGCUGAGGAGGCCACGAAAAAGCAUACGGCAAGAUGAUGAUGCUACGUCACAUUGUGGAAAACUGAAUGGAUGCAGACAUCUUACAUGUAGGUAAAUAAAUGCAGAAAGACGGUUCCUUGAGUUAAGUUACAGUAAAAUAGCAAUAGUUGAGCUACUGUACAGUGAACUGUAGAAUUACUGAAAGUGUAACGAUGCUUUACAGUAUAUUUAUUUUAUCUUGCUGUAAAUUAUCAUGUAGGAACUUCUGUAAGCACAUGACGUUACGUUUCAAACGUUAAUUUACAUAAAGACGAUUAUUCAAUGUCUGACAGAAAAAUAUAAGAGGUACUGCAGAUUAGCAAAUUAUAACAUUAAACAGACGUCUGAGUGAUUUGUUUAUGCUGAUGCAGAAUGCACUUUUGUCAAUACAGCUUAGGUUAGAUACACGUAAUAUUAAUACAGUAAUGUUUUCUUCUGUUCAUUUGGUGAUACAUUUAUGAAAGUAUAAUUUUGAGCACACAAAUCACAGAGGUAACGUGACUUGUCUGGUUGUUAUAGAGAAGGAAGCACACAUGUUUGUGUGUUAGCUGAUGCAGAGUGACUGAACAAAUGCUAUCAUCAUAUUUGUUUAACAAAAUAUUGUUAUUUUAAACAGCUAUUACAACAAUUUCUUUAAUGUUGAUUUAUAUGCCAUUUCUGGGCUGGAGCAGGACUUGCAAGGCAAGAAAACAGAGAAAACCUGAAUUCAAAACAUGAAACUGGUGUGUGCAGUGAUGACGAUGAAGAACAGCAGUGUGCUGAUGAAGGAAAUGUUGAAGAUGCUGUUGUGCCGUGGACAAGAUCCUGCAUCCCUCCACCUGCCUGCAUGUCCUCAUCUGAGCCAGAUGCUGGUGUGGUCUCUUCAUCUUCAGUAUGAAUCGGUUUCUCAGGCAUGGACAGCCUCACCUCACAACUCUGUUCCAGUCAAGUGAAGUCCAGCAUGCAGCAAAAC